rnacentral:rRNA from 1 species
CCUACGGGGGACUGCAGUGGGGAAUAUUGCACAAUGGGGGAAACCCUGAUGCAGCGACGCCGCGUGAGCGAUGAAGUCUUUCGGUAUGUAAAGCUCUAUCAACCGGGAAGCGCAGAAGACGGUACCUGUCGAAUAAGCCUCGGCUAACUACGUGCCAGCAGCCGCGGUAAUACGUAGGUGGCAAGCGUUGUCCGGAUUUACUGGGUGUAAAGGGCGUGUAGCCGGGCUGACAAGGCAGAUGUGAAAUCCGGGGGCUCAACCCCCGAACUGCAUUUGAAACUGUUGGUCUUGAGUAUCGGAGAGGCAGGCGGAAUUCCUAGUGUAGCGGUGAAAUGCAUAGAUAUUAGGAGGAACACCAGUGGCGAAGGCGGCGUGCUGGACGACAACUGACGGUGAGGCGCGAAAGCGUGGGGAGCAAACAGGAUUAGAUACCCCGGUAGUC